UACAGAGGUCUCAAGCGUUGUUCGGAUUCAUUGGGCGUAAAGGGUGCGUAGGCGGCGCGGUAAGUCGGGUGUGAAAUCUUGGAGCUUAACUCCGAAACUGCAUUCGAUACUGCCGUGCUUGAGGACUGGAGAGGAGACUGGAAUUUACGGUGUAGCGGUGAAAUGCGUAGAUAUCGUAAGGAAGACCAGUGGCGAAGGCGGGUCUCUGGACAGUUCCUGACGCUGAGGCACGAAGGUCAGGGGGAGCAAACGGGAUUAGAAAACCCC
rnacentral:rRNA from 1 species